rnacentral:miRNA from 14 species
AGGGUGACCAACCCCCUGGUUUGUCUGGGACUGAGGCAGACAUACUAAAGCCAGGAGGUCGCAGACAACUGGACGGGCUGGCUGCCUUAGC